rnacentral:rRNA from 1 species
UACAGAGGGUGCAAGCGUUGUUCGGAAUUAUUGGGCGUAAAGCGCGUGUAGGCGGCUUGUUAUGUCGGGUGUGAAAGCCCUCAGCUCAACUGAGGAAGUGCGCCCGAAACUGGCGAGCUUGAGUGCCGGAGAGGAUAGCGGAACACCCGGUGUAGAGGUGAAAUUCGUAGAUAUUAGGAAGAACACCAGUGGCGAAGGCGGCUCACUGGUCCGGUACUGACGCUGAGGUGCGAAAGCGUGGGGAGCAAACAGGAUAGAAACCCG